rfam:Schistosoma mansoni strain Puerto Rico chromosome 4, complete genome
CUCCAGCUGACGAGUCCCAAAUAGAACGAAACGCGCCUCUUGGAU